CCUACGGGAGGCAGCAGUGAGGAAUAUUGGACAAUGGGCGCAAGCCUGAUCCAGCCAUGCCGCGUGCAGGAAGAAGCAUCUAUGGUGUGUAAACUGCUUUUGUACAGGAAGAAACACUCCCUCGUGAGGGAGCUUGACGGUACUGUAAGAAUAAGGACCGGCUAACUCCGUGCCAGCAGCCGCGGUAAUACGGAGGGUCCGAGCGUUAUCCGGAAUCAUUGGGUUUAAAGGGUCCGUAGGCGGUUUAAUAAGUCAGUGGUGAAAUCUGGUCGCUCAACGAUCAAACGGCCAUUGAUACUGUUAGACUUGAAUUAUAAGGAAGUAACUAGAAUAUGUAGUGUAGCGGUGAAAUGCUUAGAUAUUACAUGGAAUACCAAUUGCGAAGGCAGGUUACUACUUAUGGAUUGACGCUGAUGGACGAAAGCGUGGGGAGCGAACAGGAUUAGAUACCCUGGUAGUCCACGCCGUAAACGAUGGAUACUAGCUGUUCGGAGCAAUCUGAGUGGCUAAGCGAAAGUGAUAAGUAUCCCACCUGGGGAGUACGUUCGCAAGAAUGAAACUUAAAGAGUAGUAGGACGUGAGACUAGCGACGAGCACGAGGAGGUUAGG
rnacentral:rRNA from 1 species